CGAAGAUCUAGCAGGACAAGUUGGGUUCGGCACAAUUAUCUUAAGAAGCUUUAACUGGGAGUGACAGGACAAGUUAAAACACAGCUAGCAGCCGCUUCAAUUCAUCGACACGCGCAUGCGCCGGUGUCGCCCAAGCAGAGAGCCAGUGAUCAGAUCUGAACCCAGCAGAGUGCUUUCAGCACACCUACUGGACUGAAUCAAACACCAUUCUUCAAAGAAAAAUUCUGCUGUAGGAGCCGUAGGAGGGCAACAACCCAGCAGCAGGACCGCUACCUCCGUCUUUGU